rnacentral:rRNA from 1 species
UGGGGAAUUUUGGACAAUGGGCGAAAGCCUGAUCCAGCAAUGCCGCGUGCAGGAUGAAGGCCUUCGGGUUGUAAACUGCUUUUGUACGGAACGAAAAAGCUUCUCCUAAUACGAGAGGCCCAUGACGGUACCGUAAGAAUAAGCACCGGCUAACUACGUGCCAGCAGCCGCGGUAAUACGUAGGGUGCGAGCGUUAAUCGGAAUUACUGGGCGUAAAGCGUGCGCAGGCGGUUAUGUAAGACAGAUGUGAAAUCCCCGGGCUCAACCUGGGAACUGCAUUUGUGACUGCAUGGCUAGAGUACGGUAGAGGGGGAUGGAAUUCCGCGUGUAGCAGUGAAAUGCGUAGAUAUGCGGAGGAACACCGAUGGCGAAGGCAAUCCCCUGGACCUGUACUGACGCUCAUGCACGAAAGCGUGGGGAGCAAACAGGAUUAGAUACCCUGGUAGUCCACGCCCCUAAACGAUGUCAACUGGGUUGUUGGGGAAAUUUAGUUUUCUCAGUAACGAAGCUAACGCGUGAAGUUGACCGCCU